rnacentral:rRNA from 1 species
GCAAAUUUACACCGUAACUUCGGGAGAAGGUGUGCCGCUGGCGGUUAGUGACUUCGCGUCACGAAGCUGUCGGUGGUCGCAGUGAAAUGGCGGUUGUGACUGUUUACUAAAAACACAGGACUCUGCGAAGUCGUAAGACGACGUAUAGGGUCUGAUGCCUGCCCGGUGCUGGAAGGUUAAGGGGAUAUGUCAGCGCAAGCGAAGCAUUGAACCGAAGCCCCAGUAAACGGCGGCCGUAACAAUAACGGUCCUAAGGUCGCGAAAUUCCUUGUCGGGUAAGUUCCGACCUGCACAAAGGGCAUAACAACAUCCGCACUGUCUCGACCAGGGACUCAGCGAAAUUACAUUGGGGGUGAAGAUGCCCUCUACCCGCGGAAAGACGGAAAGACCCCAUGAACCUUUACUGCAACUUGGCAGUGAUUUUCGGGUUGUUCUGCGUAGGAUAGGUGGGAGGCUUUGAAGUCGGGCCUCCGGGUUCGACUGAGCCAACGUUGAAAUACCACCCUGAAUAAUCUGGAAAUCUAACCUGCGCCCAUGAUCUGGGCGAGGGACACUGCCUGGUGGGCAGUUUGACUGGGGCGGUCGCCUCCUAAAUUGUAACGGAGGCGUGCGACGGUUCCCUCAGGCUGAUUGGAAACCAGCCGUAGAGUGCAAACGCAUAAGGGAGCUUUACUGCGAGACCGACAAGUCGAACAGUUGCGAAAGCAGGUGUUAGUGAUCCGGUGGUACCACAUGGAAGGGCCAUCGCUCAUCGGAUAAAAGGUACUCUGGGGAUAACAGGCUGAUCGCGCCUGAGAGUUCACAUCGGCGGCGCGGUUUGGCACCUCGAUGUCGGCUCAUCGCAUCCUGGGGCUGGAGCAGGUCCCAAGGGUUUGGCUGUUCGCCAAUUAAAGCGGUACGCGAGCUGGGUUUAAAACGUCGUGAGACAGUUUGGUCCCUAUCUUCCGUGGGCGCAGGACACUUGAGAGGAGCUAUCCAUAGUACGAGAGGACCUGGAUGGACGAACCUCUGGUGCUCCGGUUGUCACGCCAGUGGCAUAGCCGGGUAGCCAUGUUCGGAACAGAUAACCGCUGAAGGCAUAUAAGCGGGAAGCUGGCCUCAAGACUAGGUGUCCCUGACGCAAGUCACUAAAGGCCCCUCGAAGACUACGAGGUUGAUAGGCCCGGUGUGGAAGCGCUGCAAGGCGCGGAGCUAACGAGUACUAAUAGGCCGUGCGACUUGACCUC